rnacentral:misc_RNA from 1 species
GAUGAAGAACGCAGCGAAAUGCGAUAAGUAAUGUGAAUUGCAGAAUUCAGUUAAUCAUCGAAUCUUUGAACGCACAUUGCGCCCGCCAGCAUUCUGGCGGGCAUGCCUGUUCGAGCGUCAUUUCAACCCUCGAGCCCCCCCGGGGGCCUCGGUGUUGGGGGACGGCACACCAGCCGCCCCCGAAAUGCAGUGGCGACCCCGCCGCAGCCUCCCCUGCGUAGUAGCACACACCUCGCACCGGAGCGCGGAGGCGGUCACGCCGUAAAACGCCCAACUUUCUUAGAGUUGACCUCGGAUCAGGUAGGAAUACCCGCUGAACUUAAGCAUAUCAAUAAGCGGAGGA